rnacentral:tRNA from 2 species
GGGACCGUAGUGUAGAAGGCUGCACGGCUGUUUUGCAAUCAGCAGGCGACGGAGCAUUACCGUCCGGCUCCACCA